UGCAGUCGAACGAUGAUGGAGGAGCUUGCUCCUCCGGAUUAGUGGCGAACGGGUGAGUAAUACGUGAGCAAUGUGCCCUUGACUCUGGGAUAAGCGCUGGAAACGGCGUCUAAUACCGGAUACGACCAUCGGAGGCAUCUCCUGGUGGUGGAAAGAACUUCGGUCAAGGAUCAGCUCACGGCCUAUCAGCUAGUUGGUGAGGUAACGGCUCACCAAGGCGACGACGGGUAGCCGGCCUGAGAGGGUGACCGGCCACACUGGGACUGAGACACGGCCCAGACUCCUACGGGAGGCAGCAGUGGGGAAUAUUGCACAAUGGGCGCAAGCCUGAUGCAGCAACGCCGCGUGAGGGACGAAGGCCUUCGGGUUGUAAACCUCUUUUAGCAGGGAAGAAGCGAGAGUGACGGUACCUGCAGAAAAAGCACCGGCUAACUACGUGCCAGCAGCCGCGGUAAUACGUAGGGUGCAAGCGUUGUCCGGAAUUAUUGGGCGUAAAGAGCUCGUAGGCGGUUUGUCACGUCUGCUGUGAAAACCCGAGGCUCAACCUCGGGCUUGCAGUGGGUACGGGCAGACUAGAGUGCGGUAGGGGAGAUUGGAAUUCCUGGUGUAGCGGUGGAAUGCGCAGAUAUCAGGAGGAACACCGAUGGCGAAGGCAGAUCUCUGGGCCGUAACUGACGCUGAGGAGCGAAAGCAUGGGGAGCAAACA
rnacentral:rRNA from 1 species